CCGCAGCGCCGGCGGCCGCGAUUGUGCCUACUCACCACAGCUUCCUCUUUAAGGGCAUGAGGCUGCCCCUGUUGGAGGCGGUCACCCCUAUGGCCAUCUGCAAGACGGUCAGCUCCACACUAAGAGCAUCGGAAGACCAUGGCAUUUGAGAAGAAAUUUUGGAGCUAAUUCCAAAACACAGUGCAGUAUGACCAGAGACCCUCCUGGGCACAAAUGCCCCUGAAGCGAAUGGUACACUUAGCUGAAACCAUCAGUCGCGCUGGGAAAUACUUCGGCUAGAGCUUCAUGUCCUUAUGCUGAGGAUUCCAGUACUGGACACAGGUCUCCAGAUGAGGUCUCACAAGAAAGGAACAGAGGGGCAGAAUCCUCUCCCUCACCCUACUGGCCAUGCUGCUUUGGAUGCAGCCCAGGACACAGUUGGUCUUCUGGGCUGCGAAUGCACAUUGCCGGCUCAUGUGGAGCUUCUCAUCAACCAGCACCCCCAAAUCCAUCAUGAACAGCCUAUUUCUAGCAAGUCAAUCAGCAGUUUCCAGAUUAGGAACGAAAGAGACAGGAGCGUACCUGUCAAAGGCGAGAGAGUUCCUUAGAAUCUAGCAAGUAUGUCAGACGCAGUGACUCCAGGGCUUAUUUCCUCCCUCUUCAAAAUAGUGCAAACUCUUCCUCAGAACCAUCUGCACCACUGGUGAGAUUUGAAAACCAGAACACAUAAAAAAGACCAUUGAUUAAUGGAUAGUGAGCAAGGGCAUUCUCAAACCCACUGCUCUUAUCUUCAAGCCAACUGUCCAGGAAGCUAGAGCACACAUUUCAUCGGUCUUGCUCCCAAGCGAGAAACACAAAAGCUACAGAAGCUCAGAGCAUUUCUCAGAAGAAAACCAGCUGAUUUCUCGCACAAAUCUAGUGAUAUUCCUUCUCCGAAACUUUGGAUGGACCUUAGUGACAAACAAAUGGAAUGAACAAAGCAGUAACCGAACACCAGGACCAAUAAAUAGCAGUGAAUAUUCAAAUGGAAAUAGUGAACUCGAGCUUCCUAUCUGCUCAUGUCAUGAAAAGUGAUGAUGUUCCACUUAUUGUGAGUGACCUCUCAGUGGCUGGAGAUUUGCAGCACUGACAGUCUGAAUGUGUGCCGGAGUACACUGACACUAACAGAAAAUGCAUGGAUCUCUGUAAGACAGAAGACAUAGUGUUUGUAGGAACAAAGCAAAAAUACCAACACUUGCGAGUAGUCACUGCAAAACACAUUCAGUCUGGUGAUCUGUGCACAUCAUUGUGACAGCAGCAAUAAAUCACAAGCUCUGCAGCUGCUUAGAGGGAAGGUUUCCUGUGAACCUGAAGCCAACAACUAAGGGUUGAGAAAGUAGCCUCAAAAAGAAGCGAUAGGAACCAGUGCAUAUAAAGGACUGAACUGCUCCUGGAAUAGCUGAUUGAUUGUGUCUUUCUAAAGCCGUGGGACUACUUGGCACAGUGGAACAUAAAUCUCGAUAGAAGGCAGAACCAGUAGAGGAUUAGGUGGAUGAGGAUUCACUGCAUCCUAAAACUCUUCAGGUUCCAAACUGAGAUGAGCAGCUUCCUGUCAAAUAAGCCAAUGCUACUGGACAAAUUGACCUUGACAUGACUGCUGUGAUGCCAAAAGUCACCAGCUAACUGGUAACAACCGUUAGUGUAUGGCAUUGGCAGCACUGAGAGUUGACUGGAAUGCUGCUUUACAUUUCUACGUGCGCAUUACUACAUCAGUAGUGUAAAGAUGAUUACAGUGAACUACUUUAGUCUGGAGACUGAGUGACCUCUUGGAACUGUGCCGCAUUUCCAGCACCUGUCAAAUGGUUCUUUCUGUAGGGCAUGAAGACAAUGGAAACACAUUAAAAUACCCAUAUCUGCCAACACAGGCGGGUCCAGAAUACAGAAAUUGGCCCCUGCUGCACAUGCAGUUGAUCAAUAACGGGGAUUGAUUCUGUUCUGUGUGCUGUCAGCCUGCUAUAAAGAGUCCUUUAAUGAGUACGGUGGACGGGAUGGCGCUCUACUGCUGCGUUAGCUGGGGUGUCGAAGCCACAUAGCACCGGCAUCGUCACUUCUCAUCAUGCGUCUAGACAGUAUUCCUUCCACUUUGAUUCCUUUGUCCUAUCAAUCAGCUUUUAUAGCGUGAAGAAGAAAAUUAUUUUAAUGGAAAUAAGAAAUGAUGCUCUUGUUCAUCAUACCCUUCUGUGUACCUUAUAACAGGGUUUAUCAAAAUCAAUCUAUAAAAUUCCACAAUGCGUGGAAAUCCCUAACACAUAAUCCAUUUAAUUGAAUCCACAACAUGCAUGAUUUUAAACAGAUUAUGUUCAUGAAUUAAUGUGCAUAUAUAGCAUGUGUUUUUAUUUGCCUGCUAUCUAGUAGAUUAUUAUUAGCAAUAACAGAUUCUAAAACUAGCUUUGCACAUUUGAUGUGUGCUACUGGGGGAGGGGAAGGAGGAAAGAGUGUAAUAGUGGCUGAGCUAAGGCAGCCCGAGGCAUUUUUCUGCCUACACAAGGCACAGACAGACAGAAUGGAUUGGGGACACUGUUCCAACAGUAUCCUUUACUCUUCUGGAAAUGUGCAGCAUUGGCUUUCUCCUUUUUCUCUAUAUCUACUGUGAUGUUGUCAGGGAGACAGAGUCCUUGACUUGCACCCAGCUGCUGAAGCCAUCGCCCUUUGUGACAGUACUACCCCCCAAACCCUGCACCCACUGGAAGAUUUACAUCUCUUCUUAAAUGUUUAAGUGGUAUAGAAUAAAAAUCUCCCUGUGCUGUCUCUGCAUUUAAUUCAGAGGCAGCCAAAGUUACAUUCCAAAAUGCACGUUACGAAAGACCUGGCUUUGUAAUGUAUUUAUAACCAAUUUUAUUUAUAUUUGUAUGCUUUUAAAGAAAAAAUGAUAGUGUAAAGAGGCCUAAGAAGCCUUUUCAUAAUGCGGCUGUCCAUGAAGUGCAUUCUACAUGUAUUAAAAUCCACAAUGACAUUUGUGAACCGCCUUCGAUUUUCUUGUAACUGCCAUAAAACCAUACCGUAAAUUGAUCUUGAAAAGAUACACUAAAUGGGUGUCUGUUCAUAAGCUAAUGAUGGUAAAAUAUCUGUUGCCCUCUUGAGUAAAUGGAUCUGUAACAGUCAAUUUUAAGAGUAAUAUGGUUUUCAAGAGAUGACACCGACUACAGCUAUUUUA